GUGUCGUACAGCUGCUUUAUGAAUACCUGAUGAUAACCCAUGAAAAGAUUCAUCCCCGUGCCGGCAGGUAUGGAUUUAAUACGGAGCUGUAUCCCGAAUCUCCCCAACACACCCUCCGGUGAUACUGCAAAUACAGCCGUGAGGCUGCUUCCAUUCCAACUGCCUCUUUGCACCCCAGUAGUGUAUAUACCAGAAGCCAAAACUGUGAUCAGAAUGUAUUCCUGAGGCUUUCUGCAAUCUUGGAAAGUCUCUAAGCUAUUCUGAUUUCAGAAUCCCCCUCCUCAGUAAUCAGAGAGAAAGCUUUCAGAUGACAUGUCUAUUCAAGGCAAGGCUCUGACAACGUCCUUCAUGGCGACAUCUAAGUUAAUUAGACCACUUUCAGAAGACAGGAUUGCAUUUUGUAUUUCUGCACUUCUACAGUCGCACAAGUACAGGUGAAAGCAACGUUCCUGCAAAGCAUCGUUCUCCCCACAUACAAACCUGCGUGGGAGCACGUUACUGAGGGCUGAGUCCAACUCUGCUUUUCAGGAAACUAUCUUAUGCUUCCAAUACUUGGACUUUUAGUUCUUUUAUGCACUUAGAAGUCUGCACCAACACGAUAUUCACCUGAAUUUAGUAGUCCAUCAAAAAAAAAGCAAGGAUCCACUUGCCAACUGCUUACAUCAUAAAGCCAAAAGUUACUAGAAGUACAAAGGAAAGGGAGUUGGGACAAAAUUAUUAUUUAAAAAAAAACAUUCAAAAUGUUCUGUAGUAAGGUUAAUAGGUAAUAGCUUCUGUACUUAAUAGGCUUCUAAAAUGAAAUAAUAACGUGUUCCACUUUCUCACAGGAUACUCAGAAUUUAAUAUUUGUGAAUUCCUUCAAUGUUAAAACACACCACCAUCUGUAAAACAAAUCCAGUCAGUCACUUUCUUCAAAGUGAUGUAACUUCUUGAGAGGUAAUCUGCAAUAUUUUUUUUGUUAUAAAUAAAACAUCUAUUCCAGAUUUACAAAAGGCUCUUAAAAAAAGGCUUCAAAUUUAACUUUCUCCUUAGAUAAUGUAGAAAUAAGAGGGGAAAAAAAACUAUAAAAUAAGUAGGGUUAAAAGUAGUAACAGUGAAAGGAGACACAAAAAGCUUCCAGGACAUGUAUUUAAAACUUGUAUAUUUACUGCCAUGAACAAAGACUGUGGCUAUACUGAGGAGAGGUGGAAUAAAGAGAAAAUACUGAUCUACAUAUAGACUGGUUUUAUAUUUAUCCUGAAAAUACACCAAUUACAUCAGAACAAACAAAACCCAAGAAAUCAGAAGUUGUAACUUUUGAGCACAUCUGAUUACCACAUGCUGUAUGAGAGGGAAAAAAAAAAUCAACAUACGUAGAUGGCAACUGAAACACUUUUCUAUGGGGAAGGAAGUCACAUUGAAGACAUGCUACAUGAAGCAAUUAAACACUUAGAGAAUAAGCAACUCCAAAUUUGAGAAAACAGACUUUUUUUGUUAAGUGGUAGUUACUUAUUGAUUGAAGCACUUUUGCCAUGCAAGUAGUAUUUUUCCUAAGUUCUAAAC